rnacentral:tRNA from 1 species
GGAGAGGUGGCCGAGCUUGGUUGAAGGCGCACGACUCGAAAUCGUGUGACCCUAACGGGUCCGGGGGUUCGAAUCCCUCCCUCUCCG